AUUGAACGCUGGCGGAAUGCUUUACACAUGCAAGUCGAACGGCAGCACGGGGCAACCUGGUGGCGAGUGGCGAACGGGUGAGUAAUACAUCGGAACGUGCCCAAUCGUGGGGGAUAACGUAGCGAAAGUUACGCUAAUACCGCAUACGAUCUACGGAUGAAAGCGGGGGAUCGCAAGACCUCGCGCGAUUGGAGCGGCCGAUGUCAGAUUAGGUAGUUGGUGGGGUAAAGGCUCACCAAGCCGACGAUCUGUAGCUGGUCUGAGAGGACGACCAGCCACACUGGGACUGAGACACGGCCCAGACUCCUACGGGAGGCAGCAGUGGGGAAUUUUGGACAAUGGGCGCAAGCCUGAUCCAGCCAUUCCGCGUGCAGGAUGAAGGCCUUCGGGUUGUAAACUGCUUUUGUACGGAACGAAACGGCGAGCUCUAAUACAGUUUGCUAAUGACGGUACCGUAAGAAUAAGCACCGGCUAACUACGUG
rnacentral:rRNA from 1 species